GGGGAAUAUUGCACAAUGGGGGAAACCCUGAUGCAGCGAUGCCGCGUGGAGGAAGAAGGUUUUCGGAUUGUAAACUCCUGUUGAAGAGGACGAUAAUGACGGUACUCUUUUAGAAAGCUCCGGCUAACUACGUGCCAGCAGCCGCGGUAAUACGUAGGGAGCGAGCGUUGUCCGGAAUUACUGGGUGUAAAGGGAGCGUAGGCGGGAUGGCAAGUCAGAUGUGAAAACUAUGGGCUCAACCCAUAGACUGCAUUUGAAACUGUUGUUCUUGAGUGAGGUAGAGGUAAGCGGAAUUCCUGGUGUAGCGGUGAAAUGCGUAGAGAUCAGGAGGAACAUCGGUGGCGAAGGCGGCUUACUGGGCCUUUACUGACGCUGAGGCUCGAAAGCGUGGGGAGCAAACAGGAUUAGAUACCCUGGUAGUCCACGCCGUAAACGAUGAUUACUAGGUGUGGGGGGACUGACCCCUUCCGUGCCGCAGCAAACGCAAUAAGUAAUCCACCUGGGGAGUACGACCGCAAGGUUGAAACUCAAAGGAAUUGACGGGGGCCCGCACAAGCAGUGGAGUAUGUGGAUUAAUUCGAAGCAACGCGAAGAACCUUACCAGGUCUUGACAUCGUAUGCAUAGCUCAGAGAUGAGUGAAAUCUCUUCGGAGACAUAUAGACAGGUGGUGCAUGGUUGUCGUCAGCUCGUGUCGUGAGAUGUUGGGUUAAGUCCCGCAACGAGCGCAACCCUUACUGUUAGUUGCUACGCAAGAGCACUCUAGCAGGACUGCCGUUGACAAAACGGAGGAAGGUGGGGAUGACGUCAAAUCAUCAUGCCCCUUAUGACCUGGGCCUCACACGUACUACAAUGGCUGUAAACAGAGGGAAGCAAAGCCGCGAGGUAGAGCGAACCCCUAAAAGCAGUCUUAGUUCGGAUUGUAGGCUGCAACCCGCCUACAUGAAGUCGGAAUUGCUAGUAAUCGCAGAUCAGCAUGCUGCGGUGAAUACGUUCCCG
rnacentral:rRNA from 1 species